UACCUCCAAGAAGACUUGGGGAGGUCAAUGUCACAAUCAGCUUUUAUCAUGUAGUAAUAAGCAUCUCUCUAACAAGUAACAAGUACAAAGACUAGUUCUUUCCUCUUCCCACGACCCACAUCUUCUCUUUCUCCUGUAAAAGAAAAGAAAGGGCAAUCCCAUGGCAAAAACUUCGGAAGUGAUUGCAGGGAUAGCCCUGGGCAUCCCACUAAUGAACGGGGUGCUGGUACCCAUCAUCACCAUCCUCGUGAACAGAUUCUUCUCCAUCCUCCUCACCGACACAUCCAGAAAACUCAGUAACCUGGAGAACCUCACCAUCCCAAGUCUGAAGGAGACUCUGGUACAAGUGGAGGAGCAGAGGAUGGUGAGAGCACCCAAAGAUGCGCAGUCCGAGUCUGAUCUGAGGACUCUCGAUGGGCUGACGACGGAGCUCAAAGCUGCCUUGUACGAAGCGGAGGAAAUCCUGGAUCUGGUAGACUAUUACCGGAUCAAGAAGAGAAUAGCCGAUGACGCCGAAGAGAAUGGAAGAAGCCGCUGGGUGCAGCAGACCCUCCGCGCUUUUCGCACCUCUAUGGCCCGCUGCCAGGGCAGCAGCUGGGUGCGGCACCUGCACGACUGCGUCGGCCUUUGCGUCGCCUGCUGCAAGGGGACCUUGUUCAGAAGAUCAGGUGAGCAGCUUCCAAUCUCCCAUGCGUCCUCCGUUUCCAUGGCGCAGAGGCUCCGUGGCUGGUAUAGGCACCUCGUGCACCAUAUCCCCAGCAGCAGUCGAUCUGUGAUGCAGUGGCUCCGUCACUGGUUCCAGCACCUCGUAUUCAACUUCGCUAAGCUAUGUGAAUCCGGCACUCAGACGCUCCCUGGUUUGCCGGCCGCCGAUGUGAUUGCAACUAACCAGGAUUGGUCAUAUAAAGUUAUUGGCAUCAACAGUAAUCAGAACGAUGGCACAGCAACAGCUUCUUUCUUGCUAACCAUUGCUAGACAUAACUUGACGAAAAGAAUAGAGCACAUAGAAAACGUUCUCAAUGAUUUGAAGAAAUCACAUCUGUUGAAUCAGCAAAGCACCAUCAGCAGCAGCAGUAACAAAGAAAAGAGUAGCAGGCAUGAGGAUAUUCAGUACCUGUACAGAAGCAUUGAGCGGAAGGUAAUUGGUCGAGAUAAGGAGCGUGAGAAGCUUAUCAGUAUGCUUCGUAGGGGACCUGGUCCGGACACACCAAGCUCCAGUAGCAGUAAACAUUAUUCUGUGAUUGGUAUAUAUGGCAUUGCAGGGUCUGGGAAGAGUACCCUGGCACAAUAUGUCUGUGAUUAUGAGAAGGCCGAAGGCCAACAUUUUGACCCUGUCAUGUUCAUUCAUGUGUCUCAGACAUUUAGGGUGGAUAAGAUAUUUCGUGACAUGCUGAGGGAGAUCAGGAAGGACAGGCAAUCUGACAGCAACAGUGUUAAAUGCCUACACGAUGAGCUGAAGGAAAAGUUGAGAGGAAAAUGUUUCUUGUUGGUACUGGAUGAUCUCUGGGUCAGUCGUGAGAAUCAGGAGGAGCGUGCUAUUCUACUUACUGUGCUCGAUGCUGGGCAGAGUGGAAGUCGGGUUCUGGUGACAGCUCAGAAGAAAGAUGUAGCUGCAGCGUUAGGCGCUGAGGAGCAGAUCCCGAUUCCGGAUAUGGAAGAGGAGCAGUACUUUUCGAUGUUCAUGCACUACGCCCUAGAAGGCACGUAGCCGCCGCCAGUUUCUUCUUCCCCCAUCUUCAUCUUCCUCGCAGCGCCGGUGCUACAUCUGCAGACUGCCCCUGCUCCGUGCGGACCCACUCUCCAGCGCGACUGCACGGCUGUUGUUCCCGCGGGUGGAGAUGGCGGCGGUCAACCUCCUCGCUGAGUCUGCCGCGGUGCGCUUGAGGGCGCCGGCGCCGCCGGGCGCGGGGGAGGAGCUCGCGGCCAGGCUCACGGAGUGCGGGUUCCCCGCCACGGCGCGCCGAGGCGGAGCGGUCGCGGGGCUGGGGAGAGCGCGCGCAAGUGGAGGGAGAUGGCGGCCAGGAAGGAGGAACUCCUACUGCGGAGCCGGGGCCGAGUCGCGUGGACGAUCGUCGCGCUUUGCUGCGGCUCGCAUGCGUCCCACAUCCUGCUCUCGCUCGGUAUCCAUGUCGGCCACGGAACGUUUUUUGGAUCUGUUGCAUAAUCCUUAUGUGAAAUGUGGCAUUGCUACAACUGCUUUGUUUGGGCUUGGAAGAGGUCACGGAGGCUGACAUUGAAGAAUUUGAAGCUAAAUAUAGAGGGUCAGAUUCUGAGAAAACGGACUUGAAGGAACUCUACACAAAAUAUAAGGGCAACAUGAACAGGAAUAAUUAU